GACGAACGCUGGCGGCGUGCUUAACACAUGCAAGUCGAACGGAAAGGCCUGUCCUUCCUUGUGUUGGACGGGUACUCGAGUGGCGAACGGGUGAGUAACACGUGAGUGAUCUGCCCCCAACUUGGGUAUAAGCCUGGGAAACUGGGUCUAAUUCCCGAUAGGACUGCAGGGUGGUGCCUGUGGUGGAAAACGAUUUUCUAGUGGUUGGGGAUGAGCUCGCGGCCUAUCAGCUUGGUGGUGGGGUAAUGGCCUACCAAGGCGGCGACGGGUAGCCGGCCUGAGAGGGUGGACGGCCACAUUGGGACUGAGAUACGGCCCAGACUCCUACGGGAGGCAGCAGUGGGGAAUAUUGCACAAUGGGCGGAAGCCUGAUGCAGCGACGCCGCGUGGGGGAUGACGGCCUUCGGGUUGUAAACUCCUUUCGACCGCGAGGAAGCCGCCUGGUUGGAAGGGUGGUGACGGUAGUGGUAGAAGAAGCACCGGCUAACUACGUG
rnacentral:rRNA from 1 species